AACUUUUGGCAAUGGAUCACUUGGCUCUCGCAUCGAUGAAGAACGCAGCGAAAUGCGAUACGUAAUGUGAAUUGCAGAAUUCAGUGCAUCAUCGAAUCUUUGAACGCACCUUGCGCCCCUUGGAAUUCCGAGGGGCACACCCGUUUGAGUGUCGUGAACAUCCUUCCACCUUUCUUGGUUUUUUGACCGGGGAAGGCUUGGCCUUUGGGGGUCUUUCCUUGCUGGCCUCUUUGAAGCCAGCUCCUCCUAAAUGGAUUAGUGUGGUCUGCUUUGCCGAUCCUUGACGUGAUAAGAUGUUUCUACGUCUUGGGUUUCGCACUGUCGCUUUAGACCCCGCUUCUAACCGUCUUGCAUUCAAGACAGAGUUUUAAACCUUGACCUCAAAUCGGGUGAGACUACCCGCUGAACUUAAGCAUAUCAAUAAGCGGAGGC
rnacentral:misc_RNA from 1 species